rnacentral:rRNA from 1 species
ACGGGGGCCCGGCACAAGCGGUGGAGUAUGUGGUUUAAUUCGAUGCAACGCGAAGACCUUAACCUGGUCUUGACAUCCCGGAGACCCUUAGGAAACUAGGGGGUGCUUCCAUCUGGAAGAAUCUGGAGACAGGUGCUGCAUGGCUGUCGUCAGCUCGUGUCGUGAGAUGUUGGGUUAAGUCCCGCAACGAGCGCAACCCUUGCCUUUAGUUGCCAGCAGUUCGGCUGGGCACUCUAAAGGGACUGCCGGUGUUAAACCGGAGGAAGGUGGGGAUGACGUCAAGUCCUCAUGGCCUUUAUGACCAGGGCUACACACGUACUACAAUGGCCGAUACAAAGGGCAGCGACACUGCGAGGUGAAGCCAAUCCCGUAAAAUCGGUCUCAGUCCGGAUUGGAGUCUGCAACUCGACUCCAUGAAGUUGGAAUCGCUAGUAAUCGUGGAUCAGCAUGCCACGGUGAAUACGUUCCCGGGCCUU